ensembl:lncRNA
AAGAUGCUAAAAACUAGCAGCUGAUUCGCUAGGUGGGCAUCAUUAAUUUGUGUCGUUUAUUUGGUCUGUAUUAGGGUAUGAGAAAGGGAGAUUGAAUGUCUGAAUCGUAAAACAUAGUAAUAAUGGAUUCUGAUGGUUAUUGAUUCCUGGUUUGAUUGUUUAUGUAACACCAGUGAAUUUGAGCACUGUUUCCAUUAUGUGGAACAAUGUUAGGGUAUUAAUGUUGAAAAGCAACCUCUAUAGUAAAAAACAAUUGCAUAUGUUUUGGGAAAUUAGCUAGGUUGAAUUUGGUUAUUUGAGCUUUUCCCCUGAUUCGUAGACAUCUGUAACAGGGGCAAGUUGUUUUUUCUUGAGGAACAUGCAGAAGGUGUUUUGUUUUAUUGAGAUGUAAACGUGAGUCUCUGGGUAAUUUUGUCACCUGAAGCAUUAUAGUAGUGAGUUUUUGUAUAGUUUGUUUUUUGCUGAUAAAAGUGUUUUGUUUAUUUGGUUACUGAUGAUUGUUUAUUCUAGGAGUUGAUUUAACUUAAUUAAGCAUUUGUUCUGGUGUGUUUAAGUAGGAUUCUUUAUACCGGGACGGAUGGAAGUUAUCUAAAAUAUGUAAGUUGAAGGAGCCAAGGGAAAAUACGUUUACAUUUUUAUUAAAUAUCUGGGAUUAAAUUACGGAUUUCUUACACUGAGAAAUGUACAACAUUUGUGGCAGAGGGAAAAAGUAAUACAUUGGAUAAUAAUGUUAUCAGGUUAAUUGUAUCUAAGGGUAGCAUGUUCAUUUAAGUAAACAUGUACAUUGGCGUUGUUUAAAAUUUAUGGUUAAUGAUUUGAGUUAAAGGGGAAUUAUCAUUAGGUUUAGUUUAUAGUUCACUUUUGAGUUUCUGAAUCGAAGUAGCAUAGUGAAUGCUAGUUAGGUGUGUUGUGUUCUUCUGGGAAAAUUGAUGUUUAGGUGGCUCACUUUUAGAUGUUUCCUGGGAUUAUAAUCUUGGGGAGAGUGGGUGAGAUUGAGGCCAUAAACGACCAAAUUGAAAAAGGCCUGGAAGUAUUGUUUAUUCAUUAAGGUUUGCAAAUAUAUACACAUAAAACAUUUGUUAGGACUAUUUGUUUUAGUGCAAAGGUAUUUUAAAGAGGCAAGCUCACAUAUGGAACUUUAUGAGUUUUUAUUUUAUGAGUUUUAAUUACACAAGUGAAUUUUUUUGAUUUUAAGGAUAAAGGUUUCUUUAAUAUGUCUAAUGUAGUAUGGAACAUGACUAUAAAAGGGUGGUAUGACCUAUUGACCUUAUCAUGGCUAUCUUUUGGGGUCUGAUCAGCCUCAGGGGAGAGCCAUUUGUAUAAUUAAUUUGUGGUCAUUUGGCUUACUAGUUUUAAGGUAAAUUAAUUAUAAUGGAGUUUUAGUUUGGGGUUAUAAUUAUUGUUUGAACCGCAAAUGAGAAAGUGGUUCAGGAUUCUGUUUUACAACAUUAGCUGUGAAGUUUUUGAAUUGGCUAUUAUUGAUUUGGUAUUACAACAGAGAAAAAAAAUCCUAUUUAUCAUUGAGAAUAAAUAGGGGGAGAUAAGAUUCAUUGAGGUUUGGAUAGGAGAUAUAUUAAGCCAAUAGGGCAGGGAAUUACAUAGCAAAAUAAGUUUAAGUUCUUAGGGGUGAUAAAUUACUGUGGAUAAAGUAUUCCACACUAUGCAACAUAUAUUCAAUUAAUGUUAUUGUCAGAUAGAAUAGUGAGGAUCCCUGAAGGAAAGAGCUUGUAAGUGUAGGAAGGAUUUUGAUAUGGUUAGCAUUUGUUUUGGCUUUGUUUGACUAUUAGGAGGUUUUUUAAAUAGUAUUACAUUUAACAGGAAUAUAGGACAUCUGUGAUGAUUUAGGAUUAUUGUUAGGAUUAAGAUAGAUUGAUAAAGGAAAUGUAAGGACUUUAGAGAUUGCCACUCAUAGACAUGUUUUUUUCUAAAAUCAAUUAUUUUAGAUAAAAUCAAACAGUGAGAAGCUUAGUGGUAUUUGAGAGAUAGGAGAGAAAAGGGUACUGUUUAAAUCGGUAAAUAUAUAUAUUUAUGAAAAUAUAUAAGUAUCACAGAUACUUCUUAAAGUAGAUAAGACACUUGACAGAGAAUUGGUACAGUAUUGACAUGAAUGGACGCCCAAGGGAGAAUUGGACAUGUGGAAAAUGAAAGGGGCUCCUACAUGUCAGACAUAAGGAUAAUUUACUAAUCUUACCAAAGUCAUUGUUUAGAGUAGGCAAGGUUGUUACCUGGGCAGAGCCAGGUAACAAAGGGGGAUGGGUAAAUUGUGUUCUAGGACAGGAUGUGACUACUGGAUAAUAAACAAUAAAAAUUUAAAAAAUAGCUAACAAGUAGGUAUAGAAGUUAAAGAUAUAAUCAGAUAGAACAAAUGAGAAACUGUUUGUUAACCAAACCUGUAUGUCCAAGAUUUUAUGCACUACAGGUGAAUUACAGGUGAAGUCACUCAAUCCAGUCCCUGAGGCCUGUUGGGGGGACCAUACCAAGGACUCCUGGGGACAGCUAGCUGAAAGAACUACCUGGAUUCAUAUCACACUGCGGGAGGAAGUGAAAAUGUGUCUGAAUCUUGCAAAUGAUGUGUUUUCUGGAAGAGGGUGGGGCUUUAUAGGUGAGCUGUCCAUCCUAAACUGUAUGGUUGGGAGACCUUAUUCCUGACCAUAUUCCUACAGCAUGAACCCGAGAAGGCCAGAGGGUAAUAUUGACAUAGUUAAACAAGGAGGAAUUAGUAUUAACCAAGCAUAAGAGAUCACUUGAUCUGGAUAAACAGGAAGUGAGAGUAGGAUAGGGAAGGAUCUCUCAGUGGAGUUCUAUGUAGCCCAAGUGGUGCCUCUGACUCCUUGGCAGUUCAGGACUAAGAGUAGCUAUUAUGGAAGACAUCUAUGCAAGUCUCUGUGUAGUUCAUGGAAACAGGUUAUAGCUCACAUCAUGUGAGAGGGCUACAUAAAUCUACAUACCCAGCAUGGAAGGAGAUGGAGUGUAGUGAAAGUAAGGAUUUCAGUUGAUAACCUAGUGCAUUCCAGGUAGAAAAAGUUAGAGCAGCUGAUUGCUCUAUAGUCAGCCGAAUACAAGCAGAGCCUCAAAGCAGAUACUGACUGUGGAGUUGUCCAGAGCCAAGAGCCGGUGUGGAUAGUUCAGAAAUGGAAUUAUUCACCUAAGGGAACAGCCUGUAUGGUAAAGCUAUUCAUGGAAGCAGGAAAGCCAGAUAAUAAGUUGUAUGGAUUUGCACUAUUUAUAUCCACAUGUUCCUCUGAAAUCUGAGCUUCCUCCUUUCACAGAGGCAAAGGGAGACUGUUUACUGUUUGAUUCAGUAUAGUACUUCUGGGAAAUAUGUGGGGGAAAAUCAGUAUUGCAAUAGGACAGAUAAUGUUACUUCUGAUGCGACCAAUGAGUGAUUUGGCAGGCUGGUUGAGAUCUGGGGAUUUCAGUAAGAUAAGGAGGCCCAGGGCUCACAUCUGUUGGUUGUGUGGGGGGAAUGACGUGAUGGCCGAGUAUUACUGGCUAAUUGAACAGGGGUGUGUGCACUGGUACAUUUGAGAAUGUCUUUCAUACUCAUUCAACACCAUGAUAUGAUGUUGACUAAACGGGAGAAAAUAAGUACUCCGUCUGGGUCUUUUGAUGAUAGGGUUUGUAUUAAUAACAUUGCGGUUCCAAGGGUGGCAGAUGAGAUCAAAGCUAUAAAUUAGAUCCUGGCAGGAUUAGAGUCAAGUAUUUUUUGGUGGUCCACUCUCAAUGAGUAUGUGGAUUGGAUCAAUUAUAUCUAUUAAAAAUCCACAGCGCUUCACCAAUUAUAUCAGAGAUGUAAUGAAUGGUUUGGCAGAAUAGAAUAGUCUUGGAUGUUUGCUGGCUGAAAAGGGUGGGAGGAGUGUAUGGAGGUAAUCUGGACUCCGAGGGUACAAUUAGGAUGGAUCAGUGACCAAGGCCUUGUCUGGUUUACACACCCUAGUUCACGAGUUGGCAGUAAACUCAGGGGUGGAUACUUUUCUGACUAAUUGGGUUGACAGUGUGUUUGGAAGAUGGAAAAAUGUUAUGAUUACUGUGUUAUGGGCUACCUUCACCUGUGUGACUGUGUUAGUUUUGUGCGGAUGUGGUUGAUUGCCUGUAUGAAAGUUAUCAUUUCCAGGACUCUGGAGAAAUCAAUGACACUUCAGAUGGUGAUAUAUGGACCAAUCCUAAACUCUGACCAGUUGAAUACAAAAUACAUGGCAUGGACGUAAUAGAAGAAUCCGGAUCCUUUCACUCGCGAGGAGACCAUAUUUGAUGUUUAGGAAAUGUAGAUGUUUUCUUGUUUCAAUGUAUAGAUUGUUUUUUCAUGAAGAUUAACAGACAAUCCUGAUGAGUAGAAUUAAGAUUCUGAUGUAGAUUAGAACAGUCAUUGAAGUUGAUUAUGUACAUACAUGUAUUGGUUGUCUUCUUCUAGUAUAUCAUUGAUAUUUCCAUGUAGUGUUUAAUGACGGUAUGAGUUGUUAAGUCAUUUUGAGGGUGGAUUGUUGGGAAAAUUAUGAUUAAAUGACUGAACAAAUCAUUUUAAAUGGAACUGUAACUAAGUAAAACUUAUACUCUGUUUUAUUAUAUCUGAUUAACAAUAUGAGUUCAUAAGAAGGGAUUGUGUGACACGGACAAGGAGUAAUUAAAGUUAAUGAACAUCAUUCCAACUAGGAAGAAACGAAUGGGUUGGGGACUGUGUAAACACAUAAGGUCGUUAGCCUAUGGUUGACCCUACAGAAACUUAGCUCUGGGUUGUUAGAGAAGACAGUGAGUGCAUUCCUAAGUUUUCUGUUAAUUAGCACUGUCAGCUCAGUGGUGAUCGAUAAUGUUGAGGGGUCAAAAGUUAUCUGGGAGUGUGUUAGUAAGUUAGAAUGAACUUUUCACCUCACUUUGUCCCGGUCGAGAGGAGGGGAUUCUGUUAAAGCAAUGAAAUGACGUCAUGAUCUGUAUAUAAACUGUUGCUCGUGGUUAAGUGUCAGCGCGCUCCGAGAAUAAAUUUUGUUACCUAUUAUUGAAA